rnacentral:tRNA from 1 species
GUCCCCUUCGUCUAGUGGUCUAGGACACUGCCCUUUCACGGCGGCAACAGGGGUUCGACUCCCCUAGGGGACACCA